rnacentral:lncRNA from 1 species
CCAAACCUGUCGGCGGUCGCCCCACGCGUCCACCGGGGGACCCGGGCUGCGGCGGCCCGAAGGAAGGCUCUUGUGGUGUCCCCAGACGGUCCCGGGCCGGUGGCGGCCGCGGCCGGGCUGCUUCCUGGGGAGCGGACCCUGGCUCCCCGCCCUUGCGCACGCGGACCCCCGCCGAAGCUCGGAUUCGCGGUGACCGCUGGGGACCCCGAGCGUCAGCCGCAGCGCUCUCGGAGGACGCUUGGUGGAGCCCUUGCACCGCGGUAGACUGGGAAAAAUCCCACUUUGUCCCUGUGAGCCCAGGGGGUUUAGUGAUGCUGACCCCAGCCCCUGUUUCCAUCCGCUGGCCACAUGGUUGAUUCGGGGAUGGACACACGACCCGCAUCCUCCAAUGAGGGAUGGCCCUGGGCUGUGGCUUGGACUAUUAGAGUCUCUGCAGGUUGGGCUGGCUAAGCUGGAAGGACGUGAGCUGCAGCUUUCCCGGCCGUGUGCGCAUGUGCCCAUGUGCGUGUGAGUUCGUGUGUAAAAGCAGAGGAAAAGGUCUGGAGGAGGUAUGCCAGGGCACCUGGUGCUGACCUCAGGCGAGGGGGAGGGCGGAGCAGCCCCAGGCCCGCGUCCCUUGGGAGCCCUGACCACGUCCGGGUGUGACCACUCGGUCCCCGCACACAGCGUACUCUCAGUGCUCCCCUCCCCCCACCUGCAGCUGCCGCUCUUUGUCCGCAGGGCCUCAGGCUGCGGACGUCCAUCCUGGGCAGCCCUGAGCUUGGGACUAAACGGGGGGGAGAUGCUCUCAGUCCUUGGAUGUGACCUACACGGUCCAUGGACGCCAGCCCUCACACCUCCUGCUCUUCCCAGUCGGGCUGUCCAGGGGGCUUCUCUGGGGAGAGCAUCCACGUAGACCACUCUCGCCAGGAUCCUCCACUUGGGGUCUGCCUAGGGGCCCCGGGCGAGGACCAGCGCCGCCAGGACGUGGUGGGGCCAAGGCCUUCGCUUCUCAGCAUUGUCUUACCGUCUUCCCAGGAGCAGCUGGUCUGCUUGCGUAACUGAGAAUCAAUAAAAAUGAGAACAAGGGAAGUGUAAGUGUGGGUGUUGGAUGCAAAAGGUUGACUAGCUCAGAUAGGAUCCUUCUCCAAGAGGGGGCCCCCCAGGGGAGGUGGUGGGCUUAGACCAGGCCCCCGGGCCUUCCCUCGAGCUGUCGUGGGGCACGGGUCGCGUGCCUGAAUCCCUGCCCUUGUGCGGCUGACACUGGGUUGGGGAGAGAUGAAUCGGGUAUGGCCAAGUGUGAGACAAUGGCCCCCAAAGACAUGUGGUCCUGACCCCUGGUCCGUGAACGUGUUCCUGUAUGUGGCAAGAGGGGCUUUGCAGAAGCGAUUAAGUUGGAGAUACUGAGGUGCGGGCUGUCCUGGAUGGGCCGGGGGGACCCAGGGUCAUCACAAGGGUCCCUGUAAGCGGAAGGUGGGAGCUGCGGGUUAGGGAGAAGGCCGUGUGGCGAUGGGAGCAGAGGUCGGAGUGCCACAGCCGGGGGGCCGAGGGGCGCAGCUGCCUCCAGGAGCUGGGAGAGGCCAGAGCAGCUUCUCCCCAGAGCCCCAGAAGGACCAGCCCUGCGCAUGCCUGGCCUUCAGGCCAGCAAAAGGGAUCUCGGGCUUCUAGCCUCCAGAACUGCAAGAGAAUAAGUGUGUCUUGCUUGACGCCGCUAAGUUUGCAGUCAUUGUUAAGACGGCUGCAGGACACUCGUAGGCCCUUCUGUCAGAGGUGCAGCGUGCAGUGAGGACGGGCAGCGGGUCGGGAGAGCCAGAGGGGAUGGCAGCAUUAAAUGGGAGGGUCAGCCUAGCAAAGGCCUGAAGGAAGAGUGGUUCAUGUGGAGAGGACAGCCAGGGCAAAGGCCCUGGGGCAGCGCCUGUGUGUUUGACAAGCAAGUCUUCUUGUAAGGACACCAGUCAGAGUGGAUUAGGGUCCACCCCAAUGAGCUCGUUUUACCUGAAUCAGCUCCGUACCGUCUGCAAGUGCAGUCACGUGCUGAGGAGCCGGGGGCAGGACUCCAAUAUAGGGCUUUUGGGGGACACAAGUCAGCCCAUAACAGACACACAGAUGGAGGGGAGAGGUCAGUGGGGUGAGGGCCGUGCAUGGGGGGCUCGUAUAGGCAGGGAGGCUGUGAGGGCUGGAGUGCAGGACUGCUGGCUUCCCCGGUCCUGCUCCGUGUGGCCGCGCAAGCUGCAACUCCUGGUCCCGGCGCUGGUCCCUCUGCUGAGCUGAGUCCCCACCUCCAGGCUGUGUCGGGGGGAGAACCCCCAUCCCUCCCGCCCCGUCGCCCAACGAGCUGAGCCGCAGCCUCCAGAGAGGGCGUGACAGGAAGAGCAGCUCUGGUUCAGAAGACUUGUGCUCCCCUCUCCUAUCUGAAGAGGAGGUGCUGACUGCUGGGGCUGGCUGUGAGGCGUGCGGGCUGAGUCUUGUCUUCUGUGCAGGAGGAGUCUCUGCCCCCUCACCCCCACGGUCUCUGUGCAGGAGGAACGAUUUUAGGCACCUUGGAGAAACCCAGCUUGAGGGAGAAAAUCAGGGGUCUGGCUUCAGGCAUGGCUGACUCAAGGGCUCUGCACUCGACUCUCGUUUCCUGGGCUCCGCUUCCUCCGUUUGGCUGGAUUCUCCUGGGAGGAGGUGGCCUGACUGCUCCUGGCUGACCCCAUGCUCCCCACGCCUGCCCAGAAGAGAAGUCUCUUUGCUAGUUUCAGACAAGGGCUGGAUUCUCUUUCGGCCCAGAGCCCAUCCCCAGGCCAAGCGGAGGCGAGUUCUGAUCGGCCAGCCUAGGUCUUGGGCGAGGGUGGGCCAGCUCCCCCCAGCACCGCGUGGGCCGAGUGGGGGAGGGCCAGCUCUCCAGAGGAAAAUCGGGGUGCAGGUGCCAGAAGGGGGAGUUGGGGGGACAGAGGCAAGACAGUGGAGGGCCGGCACCCCCUUCCUGGGUUGUCCAAUUCCUGCGCUCCAGGCUCCAGUCUGAGGGCGCACAGAUCCGACUCAGUGAAUUCCCCUGGCCACCCCAUGCACAGGCUCUGCAGCUGCCCCCAAGGGAGGAGGAACGGAAGCUGAAAACCUGCGUCCACACGCACACUUGUGCGUGCGUGUCCACUGCAGCAUUAUUUGCAAUCACUGAAAGGUGGCAACGAGCCAGAUGUCCACGGGUGGAUGAAGCAAUAAACGAGAUGGGGCGUGUCCACACAACGGAGCAUUACUCAGCCCUAAAAAGGAAAGGGGUUCGGAUGCGUGCUGGGUGUGGAGGACCCUUGAAAACGCUGUGCUAAGUGGAAAAACUGGACACAAAGGCCGCAUAGUGGACGAUUCCAUUUACAGGAAACGUCCAGAACAGGCACAUGCAGAGACACUGAGUGGAUUGGUGGCUGCCAGGGGCUGGGGGAGGGGGGUGCGGGGAGACUGGUAGUGAGCAGCUGGUUUGUUUUGGGGUGAUGGGAUCUUCUGGAAUUCAACAGUGGCGAUGGCUGCACAACUCUAUACUGAAGCCCACUGAACUGUCCGCUUUAAGAGGGAGACCCGUGUGGUGUGUGAGUCACAGCUUCAAAGGAGAGAAGGAACUGCGGGGCCGAGGGUCGAGGGCUUCGCCUGUGCCGCGCCCCAGUCUGUGCUUUGUGCCCUGCUCGUCCCGCCCACCGUGCAGUGAGCAGCCACUCGCAGCGCUGGGCACGUUGUAAAGCUGAAAAAGCGCCAAGUCAGUGUGUCACCCAACCUGAGCCGUGCCGCGGUCUCACGUGGCCCUGAGAAGGCAAACCGGGGCGUGCUGCUUCAUCACUUACGGCUUUUGUUGCCAACGUCUUGGCAGAGCUUUUCUGGGCCUAGCAAGACACAGAUCUCCAUUACGGUCUCUAGCAAAUGGACAAUGAAGGACCUGCCUCGGGAAAAUGCACUGGGGAGGCGCUCGGAAAACUUCCCGCGCAGUCGGGGCUGUGAAGUCCCCCAUGCGGCUGUGGGAUCUGCGCUCAGCCAGGUGACGUCCUUGUGCGGGGCAGCCUGGGGAGGCGAUGUACUCUGUCUUAAAAAGUUCGUGGAGGGGCUGGCCCCGUGGCUGAGUGGUUAAGUUCGCGCGCUCUGCUGCAGGCGGCCCAGUGUUUCGUUGGUUCGAGUCCUGGGCGCGGACGUGGCACUGCUCAUCAAACCACGCUGAGGCAGCGUCCCACAUGCCACAACUAGAAGGACCCACAACGAAGAAUAUACAACUAUGUACCGGGGGGCUUUGGGGAGAAAAAGGAAAAAAAUAAAAUCUUAAAAAAAAAAGAAAAAGUUCGUGGAGCAGCCCAGCCGGGCUGAGUGGUCUGGUUCUCCCUCUGAGUCCAGCUCAGCUGAGGAGCUAAAGCUGUUUCUCGACGGUCUCUGGGGUUUCCCUCCAAAGCCCCUGCAGCAGGGUGGCUGGUGUCCCUCCAAAGUCACGUCCACCCAGAGCCUGAGCGUGUGAGCUGGUUUGGAAAAGGCUUGUUGCACAUGGAGUUAAAGUUAAGGAUCUCGAGGGGCCGGCCCGGUGGUGCAACAGUUAAGUUUGCACGUUCCACUGCAGCGGCCAGGGGUUCGCCGGUUCAGAUCCCGGGUGUGGACAUGGCACUGCUUGGCAAGCCAUGCUGUGGUAGGCGUCCCACAUAUAAAGUAGAGGAAGAUGGGCACAGAUGUUAGCUCAGGGCCAGUCUUCCUCAGCAAAAAGAGGAGGAUUGGCAGCAGAUGUUAGCUGGGCUAAUCUUCCUCAAAAAAAAAAAAAGUUAAGGAUCUCGAGAUAAGGCCAUCCUGGAUUAGGGAGGGCCCUCAAUCCAGUGACAAAUAUCCUUACAAGAAGAGAUGAGGAGGGAGAAGAGACAGAGAGAGGUGGAGGUGAUGUGGUGAUGAGACAGGGACGGGAACGAUGCAGCCACAAGCCAGGAGGGCCCAGGAGCUGGAGAGGCGAGAACAGACUCUCCCUCAGAGCCUCCAGGGGGACCCAGCCCUGGACGCCCGCACCUCGGACUUCUGCCUCCAGAGCCGAGAGGAUCAACUCCGACUAUUUUCAGCCCAGUGGUGGUGGUUUGGGACACCGUCCAGGACACUGCCUGUCUCUCUGUGCCCACCCGCCUUCCUUCAGGCCGUUCCCUAAGCCAGAGCCAGGACGACUUUCCCCACAGGUGAAGGGAUAGUGUUGCCUGCCUCACACCCAUCAGUGGCUUCCAGCUGCGCUUGGAGGACAAAUCCCAGCUCCUCCCCCGGCCUGUGGGUCCUGCCCCCGGCCCUGCCCAGUCCCCUCAUCCCCACUGGCUCCCCAGUCCAGCCGGAGCCCCUGACCCGCCUCCUCUCCCUCUGUCACUCCAGGCACAUUCCUGCCUCAGGACCCUUAUGCCGGCUCCUCCCAGCCCCCACAGCCCCGUAGCUCCCUCUGGACCGUAUUACUCCCCACAGGUCUCUGCCCAUGUCUCUUGUUGGAGGCGUCUCCUUGCUCCACCCUCUCUGCACAGCAUCCUUGCUCUCACCCCGCCCCAGCCUUGUUCACUGCCUGCCAUCUGGUGUGUCCUCGUCUGUUCGCUCUCAUGUCCCUCAGGGCCGGGGCGCUUUGCUGUCCUGCUCAUGCUGUCUCCCCAGCAGCACCUUGGUGGUCUCGAGGGGAGGCUGACCCAGUCCCCUUCAGGGCGGCAAGGGGACGAGAGGGCACCCGGCAGGCAUCUCCUGAUCUCCCAGCCCCUCAGCGUCCCUGCUCCAUCCCUUCAGUGUUGGGGGCCCCCAGCGACUGGCUCUGGGUGGCUCCCCUUGCCCUGCACAUGUCCUCCCGGGCUGACCGUCAUCAUGCUGGACGCUCUGGUUGCCUGAUGCUGGAGCUCUGGCCUAUCUGACUCCUGCAGCCGCGCCUCCUCACCAGACAUCCCGCGGGUAAGCCACAGGCCUGCAC